CUUUCCUUCUUUCUUUCUUUCUUUCUUUCUUUCUUUCUUUCUAUCCUUCUUUCUUUCUUUCUAUCUUUUUCUCUCUCUCUCUCUCCCUCUCUCUCUCUCUCUCUUUACCUCCUCCUCUUUUAUUGGCACGACUGCUUGUUUUGAAAAGCUGCAUAAACUCCGGCAUAUUUUCCAUGACUUCAGCCCUGCUCAGAAACCUGCUGAACCCGUCUGUCCUAGUGACUGUGUCUGGAGUCUGGAGUAGGAAGGAUGUCCUAGCGACUGGGUCUGGAGUCUGGAGUAGGGAGGAUGGCCUAGCGACUGGGUCUGGAGGCUGGUAGGAAGGCUGGCCUAGCGACUGUGUCUGGAGUCUGGAGUAGGAAGGAUGUCCUAGCGACUGGGUCUGGAGUCUGGAGUAGGGAGGCUGGCCUAGCGACUGGGUCUGGAGGCUGGUAGGGAGGAUGGCCUAGCGACUGUGUCUGGAGGCUGGUAGGGAGGAUGGCCUAGCGACUGUGUCUGGAGGCUGGUAGGGAGGAUGUCCUAGCGACUGGGUCUGGAGGCUGGUAGGGAGGAUGGCCUAGCGACUAACCCGGCCCUGGUCUGGAGCAGGGAUGGAGAGGGAGAGAAAGGGGCACAGAGCAGCCCCAUAAAGACUCAUCCCUGGGAAAAUGAACAUGGAGGAAAGGAGGGUGGGGUAAGCAGCACAGUGUGACAUGUUUACGUUAGCUAGCAUCGUCAUUGUGGAAGGAGAUCUCUAGUGUAUGCAGCCUGGGAAACUGGAGAGGACUGGAUGGGAGGAGCUACAGUAACAUAAACACCUGUUCACUGACAGUCACACACCUAUACACCUCAGUGAGGGAACACACGUGUUUUGUAGAAAGUAAUAACAUGUUUACUCUCUGAUUUGAUUCAAUGCUCUACUGUUUUCAUUCACUUGUCUUAAAGGAUGUAUAUUCAUAGUAGCUAUUGACUCACAGUUUGUAUGUUCUGUUCAUUUGUGUGUUUGGGUCCAGACAGAGCUUUGCUAUGGGCUUGAAGUCACUUUCAGUUCUCUAUCUGGUCAUCCAGUUUUUCGCCCCAGCAGGGAACCCGACAUUCAGCCAACCACACCCCCCUCACCCCUCCUCUCCUCUGUUAGUCUCAGUAUUGGAGCUAAUAG
ensembl:lncRNA